AUCGCUUCUCGGCCUUUUGGCUAAGAUCAAGUGUAGUAUCUGCCCUUUAUCAGUUUAAUAUCUGACGUCUCUAUCCAGGACAAUAUAUUAAAUGGAUUUUGAGCAGGGAGAUGGAAUAGGUGAGCGUCCGCCCACUCCACGCAUCGACCUGGCACUCUCCAGAUACAACGGUCGCUGCACCACCG
rnacentral:snRNA from 1 species